AAUCUUACCUGACAGGGGAGAUACCAUGAUCAUGAAGUAGUUUUCCCAGGGCGAGACAUAUCCAUCUCACCCUGUAGGUGCUGACUUCUGUGGUUUCCCCAAGUGUGGAAAACUCAACUGAGUAAUUUGUGGUAGUGGAGACUGUAUCAUGCUUUUCCCUG
ensembl:snRNA U1 U1 spliceosomal RNA